rnacentral:lncRNA from 1 species
ACGGUGCAUGAUUUAAAACCGUGUCGCAAGAAAACUAGCUAUAUGCUAGCAAGCUAAUAUUGGUUAUUUAAGCUAGCUAGCUAGCUUUGCACCUAUCGAAGAUUAGCUAGUUUUCCAACUGGUGCAGUUCAUUCCAUUGCAACCGCUUGCUUGCUAACGUUGGUGGACUACGCUCUGAACACAUAGCUCGACAGCGUCCGCACACCCAUCAGAUUUUUGUCUUUCUGGCCGUGAUGAGACAUAUCAUUGACACUGGAAAUGACCUAGAGGCCUUACAGAGACUCUGCGCUAUCAUCGGCUCCAGACUGCGUUAGUGGAGAGGCCUGGCCUGGACACGCAUAUAAACACACACACACACACACACACACACACACACACUCGCUCAGUCACCCUCGCUUACGCUGAGGCACGUUUCCGCAGUGAGUGAUA